UGCCCAGCAACUCCGAUCCCUACCUCCUCGUGGUACUGGCCGGGGUACGAUUUUUCUCAGGAUAUAUCGGGUAACCAACCCCGGUGGAAGCUUUGGGAAGUGG
rnacentral:ribozyme from 1 species